CCCAGAAGACAGAGCUUUUGUCAGCGGCUGCGGUGUCUCUGGUACACAAGUGCAUGCGCGUGUGUGGACGUGUGGAGUCCCGACAACAAAAAGGGGAGCUAGCUGGGGUGUCGGCAAGUACAAGAGCCCGUGCAAAGACUCCAAGAAAGUGCUGGAAAGAGGAAGAGAUGGGAUAUCAACCAUUAGACUUGGCAUCCUUCUCUUCUAAGAGAACUGGCAUGGCCUCACUUUCUCAGAAACCCAGAGAGGCUUGCUGCUCUUGUUCUCCUGCGAGCGAGCAACAAAAUGAAGAAAUUAAUAGGGGUGUGAAGCCAGGAGGGACGUCGCUGGCCCCUGGAGGAAGCAGGGCGACAUCCUGUACCCUUGAAAAGAAAACGGAAAGUCCUUUUCUUCACGAGAAACUAUUGUGUUUUCCUAACCCACAGGGACGUAGCAGCCUGCUGGAGCCCACCCCGAGGAGCCCUGUGCUAUAUGAUACAUGUCCUG